rnacentral:ncRNA from 2 species
UUUCGUUCUCGGGGCGGGGUGAAAUUCCCCACCGGCGGUAAAGAAUUCAUUUCUAAGCCCGCGAGCGCCUAGUCUACUUUGAUUAGGGUCAGCAGAUCUGGUGAGACUCCAGAGCCGACGGUUAUAGUCCGGAUGAUAGAGAGCGCGU